GUACUUACCUUGCAGGGGAGAUACCAUGAUCACAAAGAUAGUUUUCCCAAAUGCAAAAAACUUGACUACAUAAUUUGUGGUGGUGAGGGACUGUCUGUGUUCUAGGUUUCCCCUUU
rnacentral:snRNA from 11 species